AACGAACGCUGGCGGCAGGCUUAACACAUGCAAGUCGAGCGGGCCUUUCGGGGUCAGCGGCGGACGGGUUAGUAACGCGUGGGAACGUGCCCUUUGCUUCGGAAUAGCCCUGGGAAACUGGGGGUAAUACCGGAUGUGCCCUGAGGGGGAAAGAUUUAUCGGCAAGGGAUCGGCCCGCGUCUGAUUAGGUAGUUGGUGUGGUAACGGCGCGCCAAGCCGACGAUCGGUAGCUGGUUUGAGAGGAUGAUCAGCAACACUGGGACUGAGACACGGCCCAGACUCCUACGGGCGGCAGCAGUGGGGAAUCUUAGGCAAUGGGCGGAAGCGUGAUCUAGCCAUGCCGCGUGGGUGAUGAAGGCCUUAGGGUCGUAAAGCCCUUUCGCCGGGGAAGAUAAUGACGGUAUCCGGAGAAGAAGCCCCGGCUAACUUCGUGCCAGCAGCCGCGGUAAUAC
rnacentral:rRNA from 1 species